ACAUGGCAGACUCAGUUGGUGGAAUGUGGGACUCUUGAUCCCAGGGUUGUGAGUUCGAAUCCCAUGUUGGGUA
rnacentral:tRNA from 1 species